rnacentral:lncRNA from 10 species
CUUUUCUGAGUCCACGUCUCUUCCUUUGGACAGGCGUGUUUCCCCAGGUCGGGCCCAGCCAACGUGACAGCCGCAGACCUCGGAAAAGGGCGCUCCGGCCCCGCCUCGAGGAUUUCCCCCGGCCGCUAGGGCAGCCCGGGCCCGCUCGGCCCAGCCCCUCACGGACUGCGGCGCGCGGCUCCCCGGGGCCCGGCCCGCCGAACGCCUCGCUCUACAGCCCUCACCUCGCGGCGCCGAGCGCAGCGUCCGCGGCAUGGAGACCGGCUCCGACUCAGAUUCUUUAUACAAUUGCAUAUGUACGAGUGGAUGAACGUACCAUUGGUGAUCCCGAGGAUUUUUGUCAAGAUUGGAUAAACCAUGUAUCACAUUGAUUGUAGAGAUCAGCUUGAACGGGUCUUUUUACGACUUGGCCAUGCUGAAACAGAUGAACAAUUACAGAAUAUUAUAUCUAAAUUCCUUCCUCCUGUUUUGCUCAAACUCUCUAGCACCCAAGAAGGAGUACGUAAAAAGGUAAUGGAACUGCUGGUCCAUCUGAAUAAACGUAUAAAAAGCCGCC